rnacentral:tRNA from 1 species
UUAAGGGAGACCUACCCUAUCGGAUACCGAACCAUACUGAAAUAGGUAACGAUAAGGUCAACCUAAGGUCGUUGAGGUUGGGAUAGAACUAAAUGGCUUUCAAACUAACUAGGUGAGGGACCGUGGGCUAUUAGCUCAGGUGGUUAGAGCGCACCCCUGAUAAGGGUGAGGUCCCUGGUUCGAGUCCAGGAUGGCCCACCUGCAUCAAUUCAAAGGAUUGAUGGGGGUUUAGCUCAGUUGGUAGAGCGCCUGCUUUGCAAGCAGGAUGUCAGCGGUUCGAGUCCGCUAACCUCCACUGAGAAACGAUUCAGCAACUAGUCUAGUCUCGAGCACUAGAGAGCCUGCUGGAUGCGAGUCCAGUCAGAACCUUGAAAACUGCAUAGAAACUUGUCAGGUAGGUAGUCUUAGUUGAUUAGCGGUAACGCUGUCAACUGAAGAUGAAUAUCACAGACACCAAUGUAAUUGAACUCAAGU